rnacentral:sRNA from 1 species
AGAGGAGCACGAACAUCGGAA